UAUGAAUAUAAAUAUCACGGUUAUUUACAAUAACUUUGAUACUGAGUUGUCUGUCUAACUUGCAAGUACUCGCAUCUCUAGUUCAUACAACAAAAAACUGAAAUGACCAAAUUAACUUUAUUGUUAUCAAUUAUUUUAUUUAUUGGCUUCUGUACUAGUGCAGUUGAAGCAUGUGACGGAAAUUGGUGUCAUCCUUUAAAAGGCUAUAAUUGCGGCUGUGACGGUUACCUUUGUACUAGACUCAUUUUUCAAGGCACUUGCAUAAGUAGAGAAGAAGCUUACAAAGGAUUUGUGGGUUAAAUAAAAUUUAAAAUGUUUGAAAAAUCCGAAAAUGCGAACUUUAACACUCAUGUUCUCUGUUGAAUAAUCUAUUUACUUUUAUUAAUUGUCAAACAAUGAAUUCCUUCCU